rnacentral:rRNA from 2 species
CCUACGGGAGGCAGCAGUGGGGGAUAUUGCACAAUGGAGGAAACUCUGAUGCAGCGACGCCGCGUGAGGGAAGAAGGUUUUCGGAUUGUAAACCUCUGUCUUCGGGGACGAAACAAAUGACGGUACUCGAGGAGGAAGCCACGGCUAACUACGUGCCAGCAGCCGCGGUAAUACGUAGGUGGCAAGCGUUGUCCGGAAUUACUGGGUGUAAAGGGAGCGCAGGCGGAACUGCAAGUUGGGUGUUUAAUCUACGGGCUCAACCCGUAUCAGCAUUCAAAACUGUGGUUCUUGAGUAAUGCAGAGGUAGGCGGAAUUCCCGGUGUAGCGGUGGAAUGCGUAGAUAUCGGGAGGAACACCAGUGGCGAAGGCGGCCUACUGGGCAUCAACUGACGCUGAGGCUCGAAAGCAUGGGUAGCAAACAGGAUUAGAUACCCCAGUA